GAUCCUGGCUCAGGAUGAGCGCUAGCGACAGGCUUAACACAUGCAAGUCGAGGGGCAGCAUGAUUUGUAGCAAUACAGAUUGAUGGCGACCGGCGCACGGGUGAGUAACGCGUAUGCAACUUACCUAUCAGAGGGGGAUAGCCCGGCGAAAGUCGGAUUAAUACCCCAUAAAACAGGGGUCCCGCAUGGGAAUAUUUGUUAAAGAUUCAUCGCUGAUAGAUAGGCAUGCCG
rnacentral:rRNA from 1 species